rnacentral:lncRNA from 1 species
UGGUUAAAGGUCAUGAUACAAUUUGACUCUCAAGAUGCAAAGUCUAACAAGUAAAAAUAAAUAGAGAGAAUUAUUUUUGAAUUAUUUACUUUUGAUUUUAGUUAAAAUAUUAUAUUUAUUUUAAUAUUAAUAAUUUUUUUAAUUGCUCGAUAUGAUAUACAUGUGCAACGCACCUACGAUUAACCGGUCUUCAACAAGUAUAAGAAAGGGUGAAGACAUUAUAUGUUAAGAGAAAUUUAUUUUUGGUGCAUUAGAAGAAAUUGUAGGUACAAAUUUCAAGUGCAUUAUGUGGAGCCUUAAACAUUUUCAACACAAGAAGAAAGUGUUAUAAAUUCAAUGAAUUUGGUGAAUAUCCAUCCAAUACAUGUUAUCUUAUAUGUACCUAAUUAAUAUUAGGCUUAACUUUUGUAGCUUUUUGUGAUUUUAGUUUUACUAUUUUAAUAACACAUGUCUCACACGUGUAACGUUUAAUUAUUUAAAAUUAAAUAAUUUUAUUUA